UACGGAGGGUGCAAGCGUUAAUCGGAAUUACUGGGCGUAAAGCGCACGCAGGCGGUUUGUUAAGUCAGAUGUGAAAUCCCCCGGCUCAACCUGGGAAAUGCAUCUGAUACUGGCAAGCUUGAGUCUCGUAGCGGGGGGUAGAAUUCCAGGUGUAGCGGUGCAAUGCGUAGAGAUCUGGAGGAAUACCGGUGGCGCAGGCGGCCCCCUCGAUGAAGACUGACGCUCAGGUGCGAAAGCGUGGGGAGCAAACAGG
rnacentral:rRNA from 1 species